rnacentral:rRNA from 1 species
AGAGUUUGAUCCUGGCUCAGAGUGAACGCUGGCGGCGUGCCUAACACAUGCAAGUCGAACGAGAACGGAUUACAGCUUGCUGUAAUUGUCAGCUAAGUGGCGCACGGGUGAGUAAUAUAUAGUUAAUCUGCCCCAAAGAAGAGAAUAAUUGUUGGAAACGACUUGUAAUGCUCUAUAUGCCUUUAUCACAUAAGUGAGCAAGGGAAAUAUUUAUAGCUUUGGGAUGAGACUGUACGGUAUCAGCUAGUUGGUGAGGUAAUGGCUCACCAAGGCAAUGACAUCUAACUGGUUUGAGAGGAUGAUCAGUCACACUGGAACUGAGACACGGUCCAGACUCCUACGGGAGGCAGCAGUGGGGAAUAUUGCACAAUGGAGGGAACUCUGAUGCAGCAACGCCGCGUGGAGGAUGACACAUUUCGGUGCGUAAACUCCUUUUAUAUGAGAAGAUAAUGACGGUAUCAUAUGAAUAAGCACCGGCUAACUCCGUGCCAGCAGCCGCGGUAAUACGGGGGGUGCAAGCGUUACUCGGAAUCACUGGGCGUAAAGAGCAUGUAGGCUGUAGAUUAAGUUGGAAGUGAAAUCCUAUGGCUCAA